rnacentral:rRNA from 1 species
AAUUGGAGGGCAAGUCUGGUGCCAGCAGCCGCGGUAAUUCCAGCUCCAAUAGCGUAUAUUAAAGUUGUUGCAGUUAAAAAGCUCGUAGUUGAAUUUCGGGGUCAGUAGAUUGGUCGUGCCACUGGUAUGUACUGGUCUUACUGGCUCCUCCUUCCUGAUGAACCGUAAUGCCAUUAAUUUGGUGUUGCGGGGAGACUGGACUGUUACUUUGAAAAAAUUAGAGUGUUUAAAGCAGGCUAACGCUUGAAUACAUUAGCAUGGAAUAAUGAAAUAGGACGUUCGAUCCUAUUUUGUUGGUUUCUAGGAUUGACGUAAUGAUUAAUAGGGAUAGUUGGGGGCAUUAGUAUUCAAUUGUCAGAGGUGAAAUUCUUGGAUUUAUUGAAGACUAACUACUGCGAAAGCAUUUGCCAAGGAUGUUUUCAUUAAUCAAGAACGAAAGUUAGGGGAUCGAAGACGAUCAGAUACCGUCGUAGUCUUAACCAUAAACUAUGCCGACUAGGGAUCGGAUGAUGUUAAUUUUUUAAUGACUCAUUCGGCGCCUUACGGGAAACCAAAGUGU